UUGCUUUGGUAGCACAUAUACUAAAAAUUGGAACGAUACAGAGAAGUUAGCAUGGUCACUGAGAAAGAAUGACAUGCAAGUUUGUGAAGCAUUUUAUAUAUAU